AUACCGCGAGACUACCGCGACACUGCCGGGAGGCGAAAAUUUCGGCCCUGUCCGCCGUUUUGCGCGUGCGCAAAGGGUCGAGCCAGUGUUGUUUUUUGUUUUUUGUUUUUUUUUCCCGGCUGGAAGUGAGAUGUUAGUGAGUGGUGAGGUUAGGCCGGAAGUGGUGUUGCGUAGGGAAUGGGGGGAGGGGGGACCAGCUGAACCGCCGCUCGUCGGGCGAAGCGGGAGGCUUGUGGCGCUGGGCUGGAGGUGAGAAGAAAGGCAGCCUCUGAUAGGGAUGGACCAGAGUCUGCUAACGGGAGAUAUCCCGGGUUUCAUUGGGGGAGGCACCUUCUGGUUUCGCACUGGGGACGAAUUGAGGCCUCCCGGGGCGAGAGGGACAGCAAUCCGGGGUCUGAGCGGAGCUAUUCUAGGGUCGGUUGGAAAAGGCAAGCUGAAAUUCUUAGAAGGCCUGGUUGGGCCCGAGAGGACCGGAGAGAAGUCAGGAAUCCGCUGGAAAGAGGAUAACAGGCCAAGGAUGCAGUCCAAGAAAGUUCUAAAAUAUAUCAUCAGGUCCAACUUGGUAGUUGACCUAGCCAUGGAAAGCCUCAUUGGAUCCUCACUGGGUCAGACCAUAACUGGCAUUCUUAAAAAUUCUUCCCAUCAUAAAGUAUCAAGAAGGAAAAUGUAGGAUAUAUACCUACCACUUCAAGAAAGCUCCUGUACCAGCCAACAGCCUAACAGAUUAGCUAGCUGCUUUGAUCAUCAAGCAGACGUACUCAAGCUCAGCACAGCACAGGAAAAAUCUCUCUAUCAACAUUUUUCACAUUCUGUGUGUGACCUAUUAGCAAGUCAUGAAAUCAGUUCUGUGAGUCACAGUGAAAGUUUUUUUAAAACAGUAAAAUAUGUCAAGUGUUUUGUGUGAUUCCUCUGCCAGAAUUGUGCUACCAGGAAUACUAAGGUCAAUUUCAAGAUCUGAAAAGAAAAUUAACUAAUGGAGGGCAUAUAAUGAACAGAAUGUAUACUGGCUAAGAAAUGGCUUUUCAAGCAUUUGUCCACUGGUGUCUUGUUUCGUUUUCAUAAUAAUAAAGUUGGUGAGCAGUCUAGUUUGUGUUCCCGUGACUUGCAACUAGAUGUGAAGUCUGAGAUGUUCAACUGAGAUGCAUUUGCAAACUAUAUUUUUUGGGAAAGAUGUUAUCUAGGCUAUAUAUAUAUAUAUAUAUAUAUAUAUAUAUAUAUACAAAAUUUUUAGUGGCAUUUAAAACAUUUUAAUUAGCAUUACUUUUAAAAUGGAUCCUAUCGUUUUUAAAAGAAAGAGGAAAAAUGAAGUGAAAUGUGCAGACACUUGUUCAAGUUCAGCUGCUGCACCUGGAAAUGUGAAUAGUGACCAUGUUGAGAGAAAUACUGACUGUAAUCUGCAAACUUCAACCUCGUUUGAGCCACAUUUCAAAAAGAAAAAGGUGCAAGACGUUAUAAUGAAGAUUAUUUAAAAUACGGUUUUAUCAAAUGUGAAAAACCCUUUGAAAAUGACAGACCUCAGUGUGUUAUUUGUAAUAAUAUUCUUGCAAAUGAGAGCUUAAAACCUUCUAAAUUAAAAAGGCACUUAGAAACUCAGCAUGCUGAACUUACUGAUAAGCCUCUUGAGUAUUUUCAAAGAAGAAAAAGGAUGUAAAGUUGUCUACACGAUUUCUCGGUUGUCCUACAGCUGUUAGCGAGAAAGCCUUAUUAUCGUCGUAUUUGGUUGCAUAUCGAGUGGCGAAAGAGAAAAUGGCUCACACGGCUGCUGAAAAAAUAAUUCUUCCAGCGUGUUUGGAUAUGGUGCGUACAAUUUUUGAUGACAAAUCGGCUGAUAAAUUAAAAACGAUAUCUAGUGAUGACAUCAUAUCUCUUCGAAUGUGCACUAUUGCGGAACACUUAGAAACAAUGCUUCUUACCCGGUUGCAGACUGGUAUAGACUUUGCGAUCCAGCUCGAUGACAGCACCGAUCUGGGGAGCGGCACAACACUCUUAGUUUAUGUCAGAUACGCGUGGCAAGAAGAUUUCAUGGAGGAUUUUUUGUGUUGUUUAAAUAUAACCUCACACCUAAGCGGGUUAGAUAUUUUUACAGAAUUAGAAAAGUGCAUUGUUGGCUGAUAUAAAUUAAACUGGAAGAACUGCAAAGGGAUUACAAGUGAGGGAGCAGCAAACAUAACCGGAAGACACAGCAGAGUAAUUAAAAAAUUGCUAGAAGUUACUGAUAAUGGCGCCGUGUGGAAUCACUGUUUUAUACAUCGUGAAGCUUUAGCAUCCAGAGAAAUCCCACAGAAUCUCUUGGAAGUGCUGAAAAACGCAGUGAAAGUUGUUAACUUCAUUAAAGGCAGUCCACUAAAUAACCAGCUUCUUGAAACAUUUUGUUCAGAGAUUGGAGCUAAUCGUACCCACUUACUAUACCAUACCAAGGUUCGUUGGUUGUCUCAUGGCAAAAUACUAAGCAGGGUUUACGAACUCAGGAACGAGAUCCACCUUUUUCUUACUGAAAAAAAAUCUCAUUUGGCAAGUAUUUUGGAAGAUGACAUUUGGGUGACGAAAUUGGCAUAUUUAACAGAUAUUUUUGGCAUUCUUAACGAACUGAGUUUAAAACUACAGGGGGAAAAUAGCAAUAUAUUCCAACAGGUCGAACGCAUCCAGGGAUUCCAAAAGACACUAUUGUUAUGGCAAGCGAGGCUUAAAAGCAGCCGUCCGAGCUACUACAUGUUUCCGAGAUUUUUGCAACAUAUCGAAGAGAACGUUAUUAGUGAAAACCUUUUGAAAGAAAUAAAAUUAGAGAUAUUGGUGCAUCUCACUUCUCUGUCUCAAACUUUUAACCAUUUCUUUCCACAAGAGAAGUUUGAAACGUUAAGAGAAAACAGCUGGGUGAAAGAUCCCUUUGCUUUUCGAAACCCAGAAUCGGUAAUUGAGUUAAACUUGGUGCCUGAAGAAGAGAGUGAAUUACUGCAGCUCAGUUCCUCAUACACAUUGAAGACUGACUACGAAGCAUUAACAUUAUCGGCAUUUUGGAUUAAGGUAAAGGAAGACUUCCCUCUGCUAAGCAGAAAGAGUGUCCCGCUUCUGUUACCAUUCACGACAACCAGUUUGUGCGAGCGUGGGUUUUCAGUCCUGACCCAGUUAAAAGCAAAGGAAAGAAACGGGUUGAAAGGUGCAGCAGAUAUGCGGGUGGCACUGUCCUCCUGUGUUCCCGACUGGAGCGAACUUCUCAGCAGGCAAGCGCACCCGUCACCUUAAGUGAAUCUUCCCUGAUUUGUGUUCUUGUGUUUCUUAUUUUGUGACAUUUUUCUAUGCUGAAUUCAGAUGCUAACACAGCAUUGUAUGUGCUAACUGGGUUUUUAUUUUUGGCAUAUUUAAAUAUUAAUGAAAUCAUAAUGUAACUUUCCAUUCUUUGACCAAAACUUUAAUGAACUUCUGUUAGAGGCCAGGAAGUUUUCUAGAGACAUUUGGGAUGCAAAAUGAAGAAAGCAAAGAUCAUUCUGUAGUGGAACUUCGUGGAACUGGCAGGGAGAGAGACAGACAGACCAUAAAUAACCCUUAAAAUAUUUUAAAGGUAAUAAGUGCUAUAGAAAGAGCAAUAAGAAAGAAGGCUCGGGAACUGUUAUAUGGGCACCAAAUCAUGAAGGGCUCUGUAGACCAUCAAAGGGCCUCUGGGUUUUUGCCUGAAAUGGAGAGCAGUUGAAGGAUUAUGCAGAGGAAAGAUGUGAUGUGAAUUAGGUUUUAAAAGAUUCACUUCAUAGGUGCCCAGCUGGCUCAGUCAAUAGAGCAUGUGCCUCUUUUUUUUUAUUUUAUUUUAUUUUUAAUAUUUAUUUAUUUUUGAGACAAUGCGAGAGACAGAGUGCAAUCAGCGGAGGGAUGGACAGAGGGAGACACAGAAUCUGAAGUGGGCUCCAGGCUCUGAGCUGUCAGCCCAGAGCCCGACGCGGGGCUCAAACUCCCAAACCGUGAGAUCAUGACCUGAGCUGAAGUUGGAUACUUAACCAACUGAGCCACUCAGACGCCCCUAGAGCAUGUGCCUCUUGAUCUUGGGGUUGUAAGUUUGUGCCCCACAUUGGGUGUAGAGAUUACUUAAAAAAAUAAAAUAAGCUGAAAUAAAUAGAAGACUCUGGCUGACAUUUUGAGAAUAAAUGGAAUUCAACGUUAACUUCCCUAAAGAGGAUUUUCCUAACCCACCUUAGUUUUUGUUCCAUUAUUCCCUUUGUUUCUUUUCUUGGUAGUGUAUCAUUUGUAAUAUUUUUAUUUAUUUGAUAACUGAUUCUGUCAAUCUGCUACCCUGGAAUGAGUGCUUCAUAGGAGCAGAAUUCAUGUCCAUUUUGUAUGAUACACAGUAAGUGGGGAUGUAAUGUACAUCUAAUUAACAAAUAAUGAUCUCUAACAUCUGUAACUUGAGGUUGUACUCUCAGGAAUAAUUAUUAAAUGUGUGGCAAAGUCUCUUUCACAUUUUUAAAAAUAUUUAUUUAUUUUUGAGGGAAAGAGACAAUGUGCGAGCACGGGAGGGACAGAGAGAGGGGGACAGAAGCAUGCUCUACAUGGACAGCAGCGAGUCCAAUGUGGGGCUUGAACUCCCCAACCUUGAGAUCAUGACCUGAGCUGAAGUCAGAUGCUUAACUGACUGAAUCACCCAGGUGCCCCCCCCCCAUUUUUUUUUUUUUUUAACAUUUUAAAAUUUGAUUUGGUCAGAUAAUCUCUAUAAGCAUUCAAAAAUGGCAUUGAUUGAUAUGGCUUCCUCACAUUGUUGCUGAUAAUUAAGCAACUUAAAUUGCUUAAUAUGUGUUCCUCAAAUUAAUUUCAACUUCUGCCUUUAUAUAGUCACUGAUUCCAGUGGGUGGUGUUUCUCUUGGCAAGGGCUCUCUCUAAAAUUGUAAAGGUGAGCAAUUCCUUUCCAUCAGCUACCAUGCUUAGGAUUCUUGUAAUAUUUGUGUUUUCAGAUUUUGUCUUCUAUUGAAGGUGAUUUUUUUACUUGCCUUUUUGGUACUCGAAAUAAAGUGUUGGAAUACAGUUCCCCAGGAAUAUCUCACAUGUCUGCUCAGUGUGGAUUCUCUGAAUGAAGGUAUUUGCAUCCACAUUAAGAAUGUUUGUAAAGGGAGACAGUUGAGGAUCAUGAAG